rnacentral:rRNA from 1 species
GACGAACGCUGGCGGCGUGACUAAUACAUGCAAGUAGGACGCAGUUGCGCACGGGUGAGUAACGCGUAUGUAACUGCCUCUUAGAGGGGGAUAACUAAUGGAAACGAUAGCUCAUACCGCAUACUAGUAGAUGGACCUUCGUUGUAUUAGCAAGUAGGUAGGGGAAUGGCCUCCCUAGGCAACGAUACAUAGCGGACCUGAUGGUGGUAUCGGCCACACUGGGACUGAUGAACUGCCCAGACUUCUACGGUAGGCAGCAGGAGGGAAUCUUCGGCAAUGGGUGGAAUCCUGACCGGGAGACGCCGCGGGGGUGAAGAAGGUGUGAGGAUCGUAAAGCUCGGUUGUUAAGGAAGGGGUACUGAACCAGAAAGGGAGGGCUAACUUCGUGCCAGCAGCCGCGGUAAUAC